UGCAAGUCGAGGGGCAGCACAGGUAGCAAUACUGGGUGGCGACCGGCAAACGGGUGCGGAACACGUACGCAACCUUCCUUUAAGCGGGGAAUAGCCCAGAGAAAUUUGGAUUAAUACCCCAUAAGAAUGUGGUCUGGCAUCAGACAGCAUUUAAAGAUUUAUCACUUAAAGAUGGGCGUGCGUCUGAUUAGGUAGUUGGUGAGGUAACGGCUCACCAAGCCGACGAUCAGUAACUGGCGUGAGAGCGCGACCAGUCACACGGGCACUGAGACACGGGCCCGACUCCUACGGGAGGCAGCAGUAAGGAAUAUUGGUCAAUGGACGCAAGUCUGAACCAGCCAUGCCGCGUGGAGGAUGAAGGCCCUCUGGGUUGUAAACUUCUUUUAUUUGGGACGAAACACUUUCUUUCUAGAGAGCUUGACGGUACCAGAUGAAUAAGCACCGGCUAACUCCGUGCCAGCAGCCGCGGUAAUACGGAGGGUGCAAGCGUUAUCCGGAUUCACUGGGUUUAAAGGGUGCGUAGGCGGAUAUGUAAGUCCGUGGUGAAAUCUCAGGGCUUAACCCUGAAACUGCCAUGGAUACUAUAUAUCUUGAAUGUUGUGGAGGUUAGCGGAAUAUGUCAUGUAGCGGUGAAAUGCAUAGAUAUGACAUAGAACACCAAUUGCGAAGGCAGCUGGCUACACAAAUAUUGACGCUGAGGCACGAAAGCGUGGGGAUCAAACAGGAUUAGAUACCCUGGUAGUCCACGCCCUAAACGAUGAUUACUCGACAUACGCGAUACACAGUGUGUGUCUGAGCG
rnacentral:rRNA from 1 species